rnacentral:hammerhead_ribozyme from 1 species
AUACAGUUGACGAGUCCUAGAUAGGACGAAACAAUUGUCCUGGAU